GCCAGUGUGGUGUAGUGCUUUGAGUGUUGGACUACAACUCUGGAGACCAGGGUUUGAAUCCCUGCUUGGCCA